ensembl:lncRNA
CCGCUUACUCCCCCUCCCGCUCUUCCCCAAUCCGUGCGCCUGCGCACCGGGGGUGGGCGUGGCCGGGGAAGCUCCGGCGCUAGGCUCCUCCUCCCCGCCUCGCUUUCGCUUUCACUUUCCCAAGUGCCGAGGGUUCUUCUUGCUCUUGGGGUACCUGGAAAAAGAAAAGGGAGGCUUUGCGCUUUUCCCUGGCCGCUGGAAGCUGGACGUUAAUGCCCGCGCCCCGCGAGUGCUGAUGUUGGAUAACCAUGUAAUCAUUCAUUUGGAGAAACAUUUACUUUUACAUGAAGAAAUUGAAAUAGGUGGCUGCUGCCUGAGGCUGAGUUGAAGAGAAGCGCUCUUGCCAACCUUUCCUCCGGGACUGCACAUGGGAUCUGAGACAUCGGUGUUGGCUGAGUAGAGUGACGGAACAAAUCUGGGAAAGAGGAAGCUGGCCGGGGACCAUGCAAGUUGUUAUAUCAAACAAGGGAAGAGAGGGGUAUGAUCAGAAGGGCAGCUAUGGAAAUGUGGGAGAGGAGACAUCCUUCCUCCUAGGACAUUUUUGCCUGCUGAAGUUAAAUACCUUAAUGUGGAUUCUGGAUGGAAGAAUAGCUGGAAUGAAGGAAGCAGAACCAGAAUCUCAAAAUUUGAAUAAGGCUUUCAACAUCACUCAGAAGAAGAAUGAAACUCCCUCUAAAUUCUUAAGGAGAAUGAAGGAAAAUAUGAGAAAGUAUUCUGUACUGGCUCCCCAAGAACCAGGUUAAUUUUGCAACAAAUUCUUGGCUGGACAUUGACAAAAAGCUCCAGAAAAUAGAUGGAGCAUCCUGCUGUUAGAAGAGCUGUUGAGGGAAGUAGAGAAAGUAUAUAUAAGGAGAGAGGAACAAAAGCAGAAGAUCAGACUUAUGGUAUAGACGGCAAGGGAAGUUGUGAAGAAGGUGCCCCCUAGAUUAGGGAGGCCACUGAAGGGACAAAGCAAGUUGAAUUUGAACCAUUGGAAACAGAUGGAUAGAGAAAUGUAGUGAAGCAGGACUCAAAAGAGAAGUGGAAGGAACUUCUUCAUAAAGGCUUGCUGGAACAGACCCCACCACUUGAGUUUUGCUGUUCAUCCUUUAAAGCCAAAUGACUGACCGAUGAUAAUGAUUUGGAAAGAGAAGAAAUGGUGUCCCGGCUGGGAUGGACCUCAUCAGAUCUUGCUGAAAUUAUACCAAGGAUCCAACUGAUGGUGCAGAUGAGCAUGCAAAGAGAUGUUGAUUCAAAUACACCCAGAAAGAUUCCUCUGUCCUUUCACUGACCACCAAACAGUUUAACACAUCAGUUUGUUCUCCAACAAGAUGAUUCCAUCAUACUUCCUAAAUGGAUAAAUGGCUUUCCUAACCCAUGCUUUGAACCUGAUUGACUUGGACCUUUGAACAUCAGAGGAACUGUUGCUCUCCGACUUUCAAUUGGGUGGAAAUAUUUAUGUUCUAAACCAAACUGAAUUUGGAAAGAAUCCAACCAUUCUUAUGGAUUGCUACAGAAGCAAAUUUUAACAUCUGCUUAUUGAGAGGGACAGUGCUUUUAUUUCUGUCAGAACUGGACCUAAUAACUUCCUCUUGUUUCUCUGCUCUGAGGCAGUCCCAAAGAAGGGUUUAUUUAAUGUUUUAGCUUGAACCUUUAUAGCCAAGUUCUGAACACAUUAUCUUUUUAUGGUGUAUUUGAUUAAUGAUUUAUCAAAAGUCUGAUAACAGCCAUGUUGAAGAGCAAAUUUGCACUAGAUUAACAUAUUGCUACACCUGCUGGUCUCCAGGGGACGUUGGGCAGACACAAGUUCUCCACCCAUCCAUUUCCCAGACUGAUUGCUGACUAUAAACUGUGGAAAUCUUGGAUCCAGCCUAGGAUUUAAUAUUUGUCUUUCCUGUUGGGAUUUUGCCUCUGGACUAGCCCAGUUGGGUCUAAAUGUUCCAAUCAUAUAGUGCUUUGUGUCCUUGGUUCAGAUAGUAUUGACUACUGCUAAUUAACUGCUGCUUGAAGUUAUGUCCAACUCUUUGUGACCCCAUCUGGAGUUUUCCUGACA